GACGUAGGGCGCAAGCGUUGUCCGGAUUUAUUGGGCGUAAAGAGCGCGUAGGCGGCGACUCUAGUCAGAUGUGAAAGUCCUGGGCUUAACCUGGGGACUGCAUUUGAUACUGGGUUGCUUGAAUUCGGGAGAGGAUAGCGGAAUUCCCAGUGUAGAGGUGAAAUUCGUAGAUAUUGGGAAGAACACCGGUGGCGAAGGCGGCUAUCUGGACCGACAUUGACGCUGAUGCGCGAAAGCCAGGGGAGCAAACGGG
rnacentral:rRNA from 1 species